rnacentral:rRNA from 1 species
AGAGUUUGAUCCUGGCUCAGGAUGAACGCUGGCGGUAUGCUUAACACAUGCAAGUCGAACGAAGUGCUUCGGCACUUAGUGGCGGACGGGUGAGUAACGCGUGAGAAUCUGCCAAAAGGACUGGGACAACAGCUGGAAACGGCUGCUAAUACCGGAUAUGCCAGAAAGUGAAAUGGGUAAAACCGCCUUUUGAUGAGCUCGCGUCCGAUUAGCUAGUUGGUGGGGUAAAAGCCUACCAAGGCGACGAUCGGUAACUGGUCUGAGAGGAUGACCAGUCACACUGGGACUGAGACACGGCCCAGACUCCUACGGGAGGCAGCAGUGGGGAAUUUUCCGCAAUGGGCGAAAGCCUGACGGAGCAAUACCGCGUGAGGGAGGAAGGCUCUUGGGUUGUAAACCUCUUUUCUCAGGGAAGAACACAAUGACGGUACCUGAGGAAUCAGCAUCGGCUAACUCCGUGCCAGCAGCCGCGGUAAUACGGAGGAUGCAAGCGUUAUCCGGAAUGAUUGGGCGUAAAGCGUCCGCAGGUGGCUUUGCAAGUCUGCUGUCAAAGCUCAGGGCUUAACCCUGAAUCGGCGGUGGAAACUGAAAGGCUAGAGUGUGGUAGGGGCAGAGGGAAUUCCCAGUGUAGCGGUGAAAUGCGUAGAGAUUGGGAAGAACACCAGUGGCGAAAGCGCUCUGCUAGACCGCAACUGACACUCAUGGACGAAAGCUAGGGGAGCGAAUGGGAUUAGAUACCCCCGUAGUCC